UACGUAGGGUGCGAGCGUUGUCCGGAAUUAUUGGGCGUAAAGAGCUCGUAGGCGGCUUGUCGCGUCGGAUGUGAAAGCCCGGGGCUUAACCCCGGGUCUGCAUUCGAUACGGGCAGGCUAGAGUUCGGUAGGGGAGAUCAGAAUUCCUGGUGUAGCGGUGAAAUGCGCAGAUAUCAGGAGGAACACCGGUGGCGAAGGCGGAUCUCUGGGCCGAUACUGACGCUGAGGAGCGAAAGCGUGGGGAGCGAACAGG
rnacentral:rRNA from 1 species